rnacentral:rRNA from 1 species
GGGAGGCAGCAGUAAGGAAUAUUGCGCAAUGGGCGAAAGCCUGACGCAGCGACGCCGCGUGAGGGAAGAAGGUCUUCGGAUUGUAAACCUCUUUUCUUAGGGAAGAAUAAUGACGGUACCUGAGGAAUAAGUCACGGCUAACUACGUGCCAGCAGCCGCGGUAAUACGUAGGUGGCUAGCGUUAUCCGGAUUUACUGGGCGUAAAGAGGGUGCAGGUGGUUCUUCAAGUCGGUUAUAAAAUCUCUCGGCUUAACUGAGAGGGACUGGCCGAUACUGUUGGACUAGAGAGUAGCAGAGGGAGAUGGAAUUCCCGGUGUAGUGGUGAAAUGCGUAGAUAUCGGGAGGAACAUCAGUGGCGAAAGCGGUCUCCUAGGCUAUUUCUGACACUGAGGCCCUAAAGCGUGGGGAGCAAACAGGAUUAGAUACCCUGGUAGG